GGCGGAGGACAGCCGAGCGACCGGAGCGACAGCAAAGGAAAGGCGGAGAGCGGGAGAAAGAAGCGUCUGCGCUGGCAAGCUCUCCCGGCAGCGCCGAGAGCCAGAGCUGCGGUGCUGCUGCGCCGAUGCUCCGUACGUUCGCAGUAACGGGUAGAGCGGAAGGCUCCGUGGCCAGGGAAGAGCGGCACGGACACGUUCCUGCUCGCUCCGUUGCACCGGAAUUUCGACGGCUGGGUUCGGCCGCUAAAUUGAUGGCGCUACCGGAAGAAAUUUCAGAAAAAAAGGGUGGCUUUUUCGUCGAUCUCUUUGUGAGAGUAUCAAAUCAGGCGGCGGUAAAUACGUAGAAGCAACUAGGCGUACUACGGCGUGUACCGGACAGCGUUGGCGUGCCGCUCUGCUAGCAGCGGAGAGCCAGAUGAGGAUGCCCGUGAUAUGAGAAAAGCUCUGUCCAGAGAUAUGGAGACGAAAUCAGUUGUACCUCACCCUGUGACACCGGAAGACAUUGAGUAACUCGUCCUGCAGCUGGCUCCUCGGUUUUGGCGGCAGCCUGCACAUAGCAGCCCAGCUCUCCAGCAGCCUGACGGACCGACCGUGUGUCUGUUCCACGCCGGACUGGCGAGCGUGGCUCCGGGUAGGACAGCCGAGGUGCCCCAGGGCCGGGCCCCGAGCCCCGGUGCGGAGUCUCUCCCGGAACCGGCUCUGUGUGUGACUGAAUAAACGC